AAGUUUAGGUUACACAGACCAAGAGCCUU
rnacentral:tRNA from 1 species